rnacentral:rRNA from 1 species
UCUUGGGCGUAAAGUGUUGCGUAGGCGGUUCGACGCAUUUUGUUUGAAAUCCUGAGGCUCAACCUCAGUUUUGGACAAAAUAUGGUCGCACUUGAAGGAUAGAGAGGGUACUGGAACUCUACAUGUAGCAGUGAAAUGCGUUGAUAUGUAGAGGAACACCAAAGGCGUAGGCAGGUACCUGGCUAUCUCUUGACGCUUAGGCACGACAGCUUGGGGAGCGAAGCAGAUUAGAGACCUGCGUAGUCCAAGCCGUAAACGAUGUCCGCUAGUUACCCGGGAUUUCCUGGGUGACGCAAGGUAACCCGUUAAGCGGACCGCCUGGGGAGUACGAGCGCAAGCUUAAAACUCAAAGGAAUUGACGGGGAGGCGCACAAGCAGUGGAGCAUGUGGUUUAAUUCGAGACAAAGCGAAAAACCUCACCAGGAUUUGACAUGUAUCUGCAAGCGCACGGAAACGUGUGACCUUCGAGGGUGAUACACAGAUGCUGCAUGGCUGUCGUCAGCUCGUGGCGUGAGCUGUUCCCUUAAGUGGGUCAACGAGCGCAACCCGCACUGUAUGUUAGAUAAUUCAUACGGAACUGCCCCCUUUCGGGGGAGGAAGGCGCGGAUGACGUCAAGUCAGCACGGCUCU